UUAGCGGGCUAGCAGAGCAGCAAAGCUUUGAACGUGUAUCUGGGGAUAUUCUGUUCGAAUCUCAGUCCGGGACAUCGGAUAAUCGGACCGGAUGAUUUUUCAUGGUUUUCACUGAGCUCCUCCAGAUAAAAACAAGGAUAUUAUCUGCUUUAAUCCGCGACUUCUACGAAAUCUAAUACAGUUCCCUAUUCAUCUACCAUCCUUACAUUCUACGCUUUAUAGUAUAGCUACUGACAACCCACAAAAACCUAUGCGUGUGAAUGGAAUGAGUCUUUAGGGGUUCUCAACAUUCAGGACUCGUUUUGAAGGAACUGUUAUCACAGAAUAUCCGCUCUUGGGUCGGUGUCGCGGGCCAGCCCACUUCAGAACAAUCUGCAUGCGUGCGUGUCAGUUCUUGGGGCAGAGGAGCGGUGUCUGGCGAUGCUGUAUGUAGGGCGUGGAGCUAAGGGCGAGGAAGGUGGUACCGGCGUCACUGUGGCCGCAGCCGUCGCCAUUCUGGAGAGGCAACAGGAAGAGCAGAGACAUACAGCGCCAUCACGUAUCCGCCAUCACCAACGCGGUGAUUUAAAUAGCACGUUCGAGCCGGGAGUGUCGAGGGACUCCUCCGAUUCUAGUGUCAGUAGUGUUGGUGAGACUAUUGCGCGGCUGAAAAGUAGAUUCGGUAGCAGCGGUGUUGGGAGCGGUGCUGUGUCGUGUUCUGCGUCGGCGAGGGAUUCGCUGGUACAGGAUGCCGAUCAGAAAUCAAUGAAGCAUGUGAGUAACGCAAGAAGAAACGAAUGGACGUCUGUAAGAAAGAAAGAACCGGAUAAUUCCGAGGUUAAAACGAAUCAUGUAGUGAAAGAAAACGAAGGGAUCCGGAAAUCACCGUCUACCAAAAAUAUUUCCUCUUUAGUGCGUAGUAAUCCGAUCGUUCCUACGCGAGGUAUCACAACUCUGUCUUCCUCGGAUCCGGAAACACAAGAUUUGUGUUUCGGAGAUGGUGCAAACAAAGUGGAUAUUUCCUCGCAGUCAAGUCCAGUACAGUGUAAUAAGACGUUAUCGGUUAAACAGUUUCAAUCAGAUUUAUCCAACGAGGAAUCAGGUGAGGUAAAACGGUCUUCAUCUGCAGAAGACAUUCUAGAUCAACAUGAUGAUUUUGAUGAUGAUGGUUUAGGAGCUUGUUCUGUAAGGAGUGAAGAUCUACGUGAUGAUCUACAGAUAUCCGUGAAAGGAUCUACAAGCGAUAGCAACAUCCCUCGGAAACGUCCGCGUGUAAUCCGUCUCCGAGAUUGUGUUACCAAGAUCGAUAGAUCGAAAUCCAGUCCUGAAGUAGCAUCGGAACCAGCUAAAGGAGAUACAGAGGAUGCAGGUCCACAGUCGCGUAAUUCGACUGCGCAAAUAGUUCUGGAAUAUCCUCCACCUCCACCCUCACCGCCGCCGGAGUGUGAAGACGUCAGCGGAGGGUCGUCCCCGAGCAGCUCUGGACGGAUCGUGACCUCGGCGGAAUCUCUAGGUGGGGAUGAGUCAAACCCUGAUGAAGAAGAAGAUUCAACCCUCAAGUGCAGUGGCACGGCUUGGUCAGGUUCAGACUCGGCCCCACAUCACAGGAGCAGCUCAACAUCUGAUUUCUCCAGUUCAUCCCCUUCUGAGGAGGAGGGGGCAGAAGACUUUGACCCCUCUCCACACAAACCCUGCCUACAUACUGAAGAUCUCACAACUACAGGUUGUGACGAAGACUUCCAGUGGAUAUGCAGUUCCCCCGGGGUUGCGGGCAGUGGGAGGAGGCAUCCUGUUAAGAAUAGUAAGGUGCCAGAUGCAGAGAAGAGAACCAUAGAUGUUUGUGCUCCAGCAUCUGAUGACAGUAGAUAUAAUCACGAAUUUGACUACGACCCCCCUCAAAUAAUGCACAGCCAGAAUACUGUGACAUCAUCAUAUGAGAAAGCAUCUGACAGGAGUGAAGUGCAGACUUCUGGUAACAGUGGAUAUGAAUAUCGCCAGCUUAUCGGUGGAAGCAGCGAAACUUCUCACCGUAAGCCACCAAGACAUGAUUCUGGUUUAAAAUCACAUGCAGCCUUCGAUAAAGCAUCAAGUCUUGAUCGGCGACGAUAUCAUGGUCAUAACAGAGCCAGUAGAGACCAGAAGGCUCGGUCAUCUAUCGUUCUUCAUUCCCCAAGAUUUCGCUCACCUGCAAGACAUGCAAGCCCAUCAGCUGUGGAGUGUCCCCACUACAGCAACGCAUCAUGCUACAGUGAAGCAGCGAAGAUUGCGGUGAACCACGGCGUUUCUUGCUGCGAGUCAGCAGCAAGUCUCCUGCGUUGUUCUAGUUCUCAUGGAUGCAUCCAUCAGCCUCUUCGUCCUUCACUCUGCAACGACCCAGCUCACUGCUGUUCCACUCCUGUCCGUGAAGAUGUGAUGUCAUCAUCAUACGAUUCUCCGUUUCCUGAGAUUCGCCACCACUGUCACCACCAUGGUGAUCUUCAGCGCUAUGGAAGUUCUGGGAAGUUGGAUUGUCAUUCACGGAUCUGUCAUGGCAUGGGCAGCCAACAAGACCUGGUGCUGCCGGGGGAGUGCUGCAGCGUGUUAGCGCAAGGUGGAGACUGCUACGGCUCUCACAGUUACCUCUCCACGUGCAACUGUCAGGCAGAACAGCAAUGCAGACGGCGGCAUGUACACAAGGUCAGCUUCAGGCAGCCUCAAGUGAAUGCUGAUGUGGAGGAGAGGUUGCGACGUCUGGAAGCAGACAAGGAUUCGCUCCAGCUCCAGGUGGCUGUGCUUACUGAACAAAUUGAAGUUCAGACAGACAAGAUAUCAGACCUUGAGAAGCUGCUGGACGAGAAGAAGAGUCAGCUCACUAAUACCGAGGAUGUACUGCAGAGAGAGAUGUUGUCCCGUUCAUCGCUGGAAACACAAAAGCUGGAGCUUCUGUCAGCCAUGUCAGAACUGAAGCUACAGCAGGCAGCUCUAGAACGGGAUAAUUUGGAGCUGCGAGAUCGUCUUGGUGAGGAACGUCGUAGGAACAAACCUCCGGUAAUACCACGCUCAACAUUGUUAGCCACAUCCACACCGGUCAGCUCCCAGCAAGCCUCGCAGCUACUGGGAGGAGUUUCGCCAUCACCCAGUCCAGUUUCAUCACUGUCUGAAGGCAGCCCACGUCGUCUGGGAAAUCAUCCAAAUAGCAUGGAAGACUUCAAGGACAUUCCAGCACCUCGGACUCCACCGGCAAAUUACAGGCGUAAGGUAGAGCAUUAUGGUAGCCUGCCUCGCCAGCGUGUUACAACAAAUGGUAUGGCUGUCUCCCCCAUGGAUGGCAUCAGUCCUGUAGCAAAUGCUGCUGGCAUGAGGAAGGGCGUUGCCUUCGGUAAAGGACUAGUUUCUUCAUUCCUACCCUUCCAACAUCCAUUGCACCAGGCAUCGAGGUUAAAGGUCUCCGGUCAAGACAAGAGUUUCUCCACACCCAAUCUAGCUGAGACAGAACGGGUAGUUAUCGAGGAUGUGGUGGCAUCUCCAUCAACGGACGUUGUGACAGAAGAAGAGGUAGACGAAACGACAGGUUCGCUUGGACUUUCACCACAGCCAAGUCCUUCAUUCCAAGUUGGCAAGAAUAAAGGCAUCAAGAAGAUAUUUGGACGUAUGAAACGUAGUGGUUCUGGUAAUUUGGAUGAUCUCCCUGGGGAAGGAGAAUUCAGCCGAGGAGGCAUACGAGCUACUGCAGGACCAAGACUUGGUUGGACCAAUCAGCCAGUUAUAAAACCAAGGCCAGACCGGCCCUUUGCUGAAUGGGACAGUGAAGCCAUCUGUGGAUGGAUGCAAGAACUGGGGCUAGACUGCUAUGCAAAUGAUGCCAAACGAUGGGUCAAGACUGGCACGCACCUCUUGCAAGCUUCAAAUCAUGAGCUCGAAAAGGAACUUGGAAUUAAGCAUCCAAUCCACCGGAAGAAACUGCACCUAGCCCUACUGUCGCAGCAAGGCACAGUGGCGACUCUGGAUCCGCAUCUUAUCCCGGCUGGAGAGCUGGAUACAGCGUGGGUAUUGCGAUGGUUAGAUGAUGUGGGGUUGCCACAAUAUAAGGAGACAUUUCUGGCUGCCAGAGUUGAUGGAAGACUUCUGCAUCGGCUGACCAUGGAUGAACUGGCAGUACUGCAUGUGACAUCACAUCUCCAUGUAGCGAGUCUUAGAAGAGGAAUCCAGGUGCUGAGGAAUAACAAGUUUGAGCCAAACUGUUUAAAGCGACGGUCCCUACCUGACGAUCCACAGCAACCAACAGCGCAGGAUGUGGCUCUGUGGACAAAUCACCGUGUCAUGGAGUGGUUGCGGAUUGUGGACCUUGCAGAAUAUGCCCCAAACCUUCGAGGCUCAGGGGUUCAUGGAGGUCUGAUGGUUCAUGAGCCACGUUUCACAGCUGAGCUGCUGGCCAGUUUGCUCUCAAUACCACCCAGCAAAACCUUAUUGCGACGGCACCUCAAUACGCACUUUAAAGAACUCCUGGGACGUGAAUGUAUCCAAGAGAAAAGGGAAGCUGAGGCCACUUUAGGAUAUGUUCCUCUUUCUGCAACCACUAAAGUUAAAGUGACAAAGAAGAGCCAGUUCACACUGAAGCGCAAGAAGUCAAAGUCAGAGUUGGACUUUGGGGACUUGGUGUGCCCUCUGGAUCCCAACAAGUCAGGUGAAACACUGCCUCAUGGUGAUGGCAUGACUCAGAUGGGGCCACAGGAUCCAAAGGUCGUGGUUGUCUCUCGUGAAACAGCUAUCAGUUCAGAAGUGGUAAGAAAACAGUGUGCCAGACAUCACUGUCAGGAUCACUCUGUCAUUUGGGUUAAUAGUAUCUGCCCUCUUAGUGUAUCCCAUGUCAGAAAUGAAUUCUACGCUUUUGUCUAGGUGAGCAGAGGCGAGGAAAAUGAACAGAAACCCUAUCUAGAAGCACUAGACAUUUUUAUAGCUCAAAAUAGCAAAAGGUGAGUGAGCAGGUGUGCUGAAAAUAGUGAAUAGAUUCAGGGUUUGAAUAGAAUGUUCCCGCAUACUGUUACAGUAAAAAGUAAAGUUGUCGCUGUGCUGAAUUAUUUAAGCAUGAAGACGCGGGGGAGUGGCUGUCCAGCCCAUAGUCCAUCGCUAUACUGACUGAGCUAUCCUGACUCCUACUGUUUUGGUAUAGGAUUUGAUGUUCUUAUGGUAGAGAACAUGGACGUCUGUCUUCCAGGGUAGAGACACCCUAUAGUCCGAUAGGUAUUGCCCGGAUAUUCAGGGUUGAAGUACGAAGCCUGCAAGAAUCAGACAGUAAAGAGAGGCAAUGCAUUUCUCUGAAACGUCAGACUUCUACCCAACCACCCAGCAUUGCAUCCUGGAAGGCAAUACUCUUCAUAGUCAUUGCUGUGGGAACCUCGAAGCAAAGUUAAAUUGAAUUAUUUUGUUGCAGGACCAGCUCAAAUCUGAGUGUAAAUUUUCAGAAAGAACCAGCGAUGUCUGAAAAAGGACCCAUUGGCAAGAACUGGGCAAGAAAAUCAUUUCUUUACCUGGUUCACAUGGCAGGGAGCUAUCAUAUACAUUUUGGUAACAGUUGAAUCAAACAGCUGUGUUGCAGACUACUUGUAUCGAAGCCUGGAUCGUUAUCAUUUGUGUCCUCUUGUAACACACUGCAUCAACUGAGACCUUGAAAAUAUGUAUAUAUAUAUACUUACAUGAGCAGGUAUAGUAUACACCAGUAAUCCUUAUUAUAAAGAAAUGUUCUUCCAAGAUAAUAUGAUAUAAGAUAAGUGGUUUUUAUGGACGUAGAGUCCAAUGUGAACAGUGUUUCAGCCUGCCAAACAUGAAUUGCUGUCAUCCGUGACAUUGAACUGUAUGUAAUGCCCAGUUAGGUUCAUGCAUAAUGAUAUCAAAAGAACGAAUUUGAUUCAUAUAAAGUUAUUUAUAUUCAGAUAAUGUACAGGCACUGACUAUUACCAUGAACAGUCAUUAAUUUUCAUUCAAAAGUGAAGCUGGAAAGUAUAAUUUGACUUAGAAAUUCUUAAAAUGACCUUAUUAAAUAUAUGGAAUCAUAAAGAUGAAAUCCUCAAGAAUCUAUUCAGUACAUGCAACAGCCUUUUCUCUCAACACCAGACCAAAGGCCAUAAUCCUGCUUCUUAUGCAAAGAGCACCAUGUUAAAAAACAAACCCAGAGAUUGGCUAUCCUGUGUUAAGGAUUUUCAUGGUUUGUGUAAGUCCUGCCAGGCUAAUAUCAAAUUUCAAAUUAGGCUGUAACCACUUCCUUCUCCUCCCUUUCCAAUUAAUUAUACUGUCAUUUGAUGAUGACUGCCUAUGUGGUCUAGUGCUCAGAGGUCCGGGUUUGAUUCCCGGCACUGCCAGAUUUUCUGAGAAGUAGUGGGUCUGGAACGGGGUCCAUUCAGCCUCGUGAGAGAAUGCUGUCUUUACAUUUACCAUUUCUUGACAGGUAUUAUUGGUAAUAAUUUUAUAACCAUCUGAAAUGUGAAUGAGCUGGUGUUUGAAGUUCAGUUAUUCAGCAGACUUGAGGCUCCUACAGUGGUGGCUUCUGGGAUGCGAUGCCAUGCAGUCUGGUAGAACUUAACUGACAUUUCAGAGGAAUGAAACAAGUAGAAUGGAAAGGUGGAAAGAGAAGAGUAACUGGUACUGGUUGCCUGCUAGGCUUACUCUUCAUCCCUGAAGAUGGAGGCAGUAUGUUCCUCCAAAAUACCUGUAAACCUGUACCAGGCUACCUCAAAUAUCAGAUCCUCUUUGCUGGACUGAGUCUGCAUCUCACAGUAUAGAACCCACUUCCAUUCAGUGAGACCACCUUUCCAGGUUUUAUAAGGUCUUGAUCGUUUCAACCUGGCCCUUCACUGCUACCACCCCAGGGUUAGAUUGGGCAGUCAACAAAUGGCUGACAGUCCUUGAGCAGAAACUUUAGGACCCUUCCACCAAGAUUUCAUGAGUAGGAUUAUAGUACCAAAGCAUAACCUAAAAUCUACCUCCCUCUUUCCAUAGCUGCAUCAUUGGUAAGCACUGGAAGAUUGUGUCUAUAGAAACAGACGUGCUUAUCAAAACUUAACCUUCUCACAUCCUUUUUAUCUGGAACAUCUCUCCUACCAGCUAUGAAUUAACUUUUUUGAAAAUCUAAGAAGAAAAAUGCUUUGGCAGGGGAAGACAUAAAACUCCUGCAUUCUGUUCCUUUAAACAAUCAACUAGAAGAGAUGUCAAAGAAUGUACAGAGAAAAGGCAUAACAACUCGGUACAUGGUGGUAAUGUGACAGUAAAUUGCAUAAAUUUGGUGCAGGAAGCCUCACAACAGUAGACCUGUACCAGAAAUUGUCUACUGUUCUAACUGCUUUUAAAGUUACAUGUCUAAAUUGUGGUUUAACUGUUCUAAUGUUGCUGCAAUAGAAUUAUUUGCUCUAAUAAUAGCUGGUUUAUCUGUUUUAUUAAUUCCAAUAAUAUCCAGCAGAGGGUAGGAAAGGAUUGAGGCAUGGUAAAACACUGUUUUGUUUUACAUUAAUGUUUGACUUCCACUAGUUGUGGUAAUUAGUGUGCAUAAGCUGUUAGCACUAGCAUGGCAGUAUGGGUCCAUGUAUAAUUGGUGUUAGUGCCACUUCAAGUAUGGGCAUCAUUUGUGUCACCAAUGUGUCUCAUCAAUAUUAUCCCAUUUUCCUUGUUAAGUCUUCCAGUGGAGGUUUGUUACUGCAAAUCAUAGAGGUGGCAAAGGUCAAAUAAAAUGUUGGAGAAUAGUUUUUAAUACAUUUUUGGUAAAGUUUUUGACUCUCAUGAAUAUUUUAAAUUGAAUUUACUUCAUACAGAAUCUUCUAAAAGUCUGAGAGUUAUCUGAAAACCUGUAAUUAUUACAUUGUGUGUGAGAGGAAGGAAGUUUCAAGACAGUUUAGGUGAAAGGAUUGUUCAAAUGAAACAUGUUUGGGGAUUGUUCUGGAUGAAGGAGUAGAGGCCAUUAAAAAUAAGGCUAAUGGGCACUGAGAUAGCCAUCUUUUUGAUGCACCAGCUGAUAAAUCUCCUCCGUGAAGAAUUCCUUGGCCUUCUGCUGGAACCACUGCACCACUGCAGUUAGGCCAAAUGCAUGAACUUGAUUCAUUUGAACAUGCCUUGUAUAUAAGUACAUGCAAGGAAUAAUAUUGACGGUCCUCCAACAUUUCAGCAAACAUUGCCUUUACAUGUUUAGGGUUAAUGCAUAUGGAAGGUUU